GCUUCCAGGCAUAUUAACACCCCCAGAGUGCUGCAGCCUGGAAGCUAAGCAGAGUCAGGCUUGUCUGGGGCUUGGAUGGGGGACUGUCUGUAAACACCAGGGGCUGGAGGCU
ensembl:rRNA 5S_rRNA 5S ribosomal RNA